GUGAUCACUUCGGCAGCACAUAUACUAAAAUUGGAACGAUCCAGAGAAGAUUAGCAUGGCCCCUGCACAAGGAUGACACGGAAGACAUCUAGGACUAGCGGGCGAGU